UUUGAUAUGUGCUGAAUGUUUCAUAUGCUUUAGUACCUUGCUAAUGUGAAUGAUGUAUAACAACGAUAUAUAUCAUUUCAGAAAGGCAGUGAUUAUGAUCUGCUCACACAGUUUUGUACUUCUGUUGUUUUGUUACAAACCAUGCUGUGGAGCAUCAGUGACCCAGACAGAACCCAAUUUAACAGCAUUAGAGGGAACAAAUGUUACUUUAGACUGUUCAUCGGAUGUAUCUGCUAACAGCAUGUAUUGGUAUGUUCAGGAAUUUCAAGGAACACCAGAGCUUCUUGUUCAAAGUUAUGCAAAUCCUGAAAAUUAUGCAACAAGAAUCCGUGGACGAGCAAAUGCUGUUUUUAGCAGCACCAACAAAACCUUCCCCCUGACUCUCUCUCUCCUGAGAGUGUCUGACAGUGCCGUGUAUUACUGUGCCUUGGAUGCACAGCAUAUUAUAGCAAUACAAGCGCUCUUACAAAUAUAGGAAGCUGUCAGAACUGGAGCAAAAAAAAGAAGAAUAUCUGUGAGUGCUGUAGGAAUACAAAUUAAUAUCUUCUUAAUGUUACACAAAAGGCACACACAUGUAUGCAUAGCUUUAAUUACUGUAUAUGUAGAUAUUUAACUUUAUCACAGAGGGAUUUUCUCUGUUCUGCCAAAACACAAGUGCUUGAAUAGUAUACAUACAUGCUUUGAAAACUGAACUAUUCUUCAAACUUGCAAAAGAAAAAUAUAAGUGCUCAAUUUCAUUGCAAAAAAUAUACAUUAUUUGCUGAUUUACCAAAUGACUGAGACAGUGAUGACAAUUAUAUUUAGUAGCAUGUAAUGAUUUGCAGAUCCAUUUAGUUAAUGAUGUAUAUGCAGUGUUUCUACCACGCUGUAUCUUUAGUGAAAGCUGCA